AUGACUUCGAUGUUUUAUUCUAAGAGUUGUGUAGUUCCAGCUGUCACAUUUACAUCUAUGAUCCAUCUUGAAAUGAUUUUUGAAUAUGUAGUGUGUGUUAGAGAUCCAACUUCAUUCUUUUGCAUGUGUAUAUCCAUUGUCUCAGCACCAUUUGGUGAAAAGACGAUUCUUUCCCCACUGGAUUAUCUUGGUACCCUUGAGCCCCUAUGUAUAGGGUUCCUGUUGCAUUUUUGGAGUGGAUCCUUGGAGGUCCUUAUUUCCCUUUCCACAGUUGCUCCUAGCAGACAACAGUUUUUAAACGGUGUUUGUUGAAGUCCUAGGAAGUCUGCAGAAUGUUUUCAAAGGGCAUUUAUUACAGGAGGCCAAAUGUUGGCAGGUGAAAUUCCAGGUUCUCAAACAAAAAGUGUAACCUGAAGCAAAAUUCAUAUUUAUGUAUUUAAUACAUUGAGCUUUUAUUUCAAUUGUAUUGAAAGUUCCUUUUUUUUCCAAAAAUAAACAAACUUGAAAACUCUUCUCUCCCUUUGCCCUGUCUUUUCACUUGAUUCUUGUAUCACAAAUGAGAAUGUUAAAAGUUAUAGGACGAUCGCUUCCUUCGUGUUGGGCCAAGCUCGCUCAGCAUGAGUCAUUGCAUUGUUUGAGGCAACGGUGGAUGGCAGACAGCUCAGGGUACUGGGACACAGACAUAAACAGGUCAUCCUAUGAAACUGCCAAUCAGCCAGGAACUGGCUGACGGAAUUGGGGUAGCUAGGGUAAGGUGUAUCAGUCUGAAUUCAAAAAAAUAGAGAGCAACAUAAACAAAAACACAAAAGAAAAAAAAACAAGGAUUAAGUCCUGUAAAAUUAUAAAAUCGAAUAGAAUCAUAUACACCGUGUCAGAACUGAAUGGGUCUACAGAGGUCGUUAGGUAUAAACCCCCAAUUUAUAGAGCACCCAUGUUGCUCUUCAGCUCCAAAUGACUGGAAAUUAAAAAUAGCUCCGUAACCUUCUGGAACAAUUCCAAAGACUUAGAGCAGAGUUAGUGGUGAGGUUGCGGACCCCCUCUGAGGAGCCUUGUGGUUGAGGGCAUGCACCACUAUGCCUGGCUAAUUUUUUUUUUUUUAAGUAGAGACAAGAUUUCUCUAUGUUGUCCAGGCUGGUCUUGAACUACUGAACUCAAUUGAUCCUCCUGCCUUGGCCUCUCAAAGUGCUGGGAUUACAAGUAUGAGCCACCAUGCCCAGCCCAGAGACAUAUUUGAAUUCCAUCUCUAAUUAAGAGCUGUAUAACCUUGGGGUUACGUAACUUACUAUCUGUGAGUCUUGUCUCACUGUCCUGAAAAGAAAGCAAUGCUAAUUUAUUCCUUAGGUACAGGGGGAUAAUCAAAUAUGUAACUUUGGUUAGCACGUGGCCUGCACAUGCUAGGGCUUCCCUUCCUUGGCCGGUUAGAUGAGGCUUAGGUCAACAAUCCAAUCAGAGAUUAGUUUCUGUCAGAAGAAACGAUACAUGAAUCUGUAGAAAUGCAGUUAGUGUGACAUUGUUUACGGUACCUACAUAGCCCGGCAUUCUGUUAAGUAGCAAUUCCCAGAUAGUUUUCAGAGUAAACUUUCAUUUUCAAAGGAAUGAGUUUGGCCACAUGAAAAUAUCCUUUAAAUAAGAGGUUAAAAAAGUAGGCUGGGCACAGUGGCUCAUGCCUGUAAUCCCAGCACUUUGGGAGGCUGAGGCAGGUGGAUCACUUGAGUUCGGGAGUUCAAGACCAGCCUGAACAACAUGGCCAAAACCCCAUCUCUACCAGCAAAUACAGAAGUUAGCUGGGCAUGGCGUGUGCCUGUGGUCCCAACUACUUGAGACUGAGGUGGGAGGAUGACUAGAGCCUGGGAAGCUGAGGCUGCAGUGAGCCAUGAUCAUGCCAGUGUCACUCAGCCUGGGUGACAGAGUGAGACCCUGUCAAGAAAAAGAAAUUAAAAAUUAAAAAAAUAAUAAAGCCAACAAUUCUCUUUCAACAUAAACCUGGCAGAUGCUGGCUCUUGACCAUUCCCACAGUCACAGUGCUUCUCAUCCAUGCCCCCAUUCCCCACCUCAGGGACGCUUGGUAAUGACUGCAGACAGUUUUAACUGUCAUGGUUUUGGGGACAGGCGCACUGGCGUCUAGUGAGUAGAGGCCAGGGAUGCUGCUUUACAUCCUACAAUGCACAGAAAAGCACACUCCCCAAAGAAUAAUCCUGUCCAAAAUGUCAACCAUACUGCUGUGAAGAAAACGUGUCAGGAUGUGCCGUGUUUUUAAUGGAGCUGAGCUCCUAAGUGACACAGUCCUUUCUGGCUGAGUGCACCCAUCCUGCUGUCUGCAACAUCCUUGUGUUACUGGAGUGUACCGGGUGCCUGUCUCCUCCUGCCUCCCUGUAGCAGGCUGUUGAACUCGUGCUCAGGCCCCUAAUUAACUCCUGCCAUCCAGGCAGAGACAACACACAAAUAGGCUAGACAUGUCAUGCCAGGAUUACGAAGGGCAAGCAGGCCGCCUCUUCUACCACCGCUUCCUCUGAACCUUUCCCUUCUCAGAUGACGUGAAAUGACGGGUGGGUGGCUGGGGUAGAGAGGGAGGAGAAGGCGGCUGUUGUUGGGAUUACAGGUCACAGGGAAAGGCAGGCAUUUGUGGUGAAAAGGUACUUUCUUCUUUUCCUGGAACCCCUCUCCUCCUCUACAACCAGUAGACAAGUGAGGAUUUGGGAAUCCUUGCAAGAAGUGGAUGAAGCUUGGUGGAUGUUUUCCUUUGCCAUCUGAGUUUGGGAGAUCGGUGGGGGAGGAAUUCAUAUUUUCUCUCCUGUGUCUCCGGUGGACACUGCGGUCCAUGAAGGAUACCCCCUGUGCAUGGACAUGCAGCCGCAUGUGAGAAGGCAGUGGUGGGAGCUGGAAAGAUCAGAAGGUCUAACCUCAGCAGGAACACCCAGCUCAGGAAAUUGUGCAGGGGAUGCCCACAGAGUUUCCCAGAGGAGCCCCCAUACCAACCAGCACCCCCCAAAGGUAUAGCCAGAUGGAGAGAGGGCAGAGAAGCCGGUCAGCAUUAGAGAAGGAGACAGUCACAGCCAGGGAAAUUAAAGCAAUCUUGUCCUGUUUCUGCAACCUCCUCAUCCCUCUAACCAACUGGAGUAUUGAAAAGACACAGGAAGAAAAUCUCUUAGAGCAACAGAAGGACCUCCCUUCCUCCACUCCAAGGAGUCAGGCUCCUGCUCAAACCUCCUGUAGACUGGGAAAGGGAAGAGGUUUAAAUUGGGGGUAAGACUGAAAUUUAAGUGGGACUGGGAUUUACUAACUGGAAGAGAUCAGAAGCUUAGGAAGUCUGUCAUACAUUUUGGGAAGAGACAGGAAAGAGAUUCACUGGAGCAGAGAUUGGCAAACAUUUUCCGUAAAGGGCCAUGUAUGAAAAAUGCAGGCUUCAUGAUCCAUCAGUCUCUGACGGAAUGACUCAGCCCUGCUGUGGUAGCAGGACAGCAGCCGUAAACGAUAUGUAACUGAGUGCCACACUCUGCUCCAAUCACACCUUACUUACAAACACAGGCGUCUGCAUGGAUCUGACAGGCAGGCUAUGGUUGGCCAACACCUGAGACAGGGUGUGAGUGGAGGCGGAGAGUGGAAAAAAUAAACAGCUUUAUUUUGAUAAUGCAUCAGCCAGUUCCCUUUAAAAAGUCAGUUUCUACAAUAUAUCCCCAAUUUUGUCAAGCCCCUGUAUCCUUUCUUGGCGCCGCCUUUUCCAGCUGUUCCGGCUGGGGUGUGCAUGCCCUCCUAAAGGGCUCUUCCUCCCAGGACUUGCUCCGGGCUUCUUCAUCUGCAGACUUGCGGGUCUCACACACUUUUGUGUUUAAAACAUGGGUAGAUUAGAAAGAACUGCAUGAAGUUAUGCAUUUUUGUUUGUAUUAUGAGCCAAAUGCACUUUCAUGUCUCAUGGCCAACUUAAUUUGUUGAACGAAAAAAUAAAAAAUCAGUAGAUAAACUUUAGAGGCAGGUGGCAUAUGCGUUUUGUGUGCUGCAUAUUAGGUCACUACAAACGUACCGCCCACUGGGUGCCUUGAAACCACCUGCAUUUGCUACCUUGCGGUUUCGGAGGGUUAAAAGGCCGGAAGCAGUGUAACUGGGUCCUCUGCUCAAGGUCUCAUGGGGCUGCAGCUGAGGUGUCAGUGAGGAAUGGGGUCUCACCUGGGGGCUCGACUGGG
ensembl:lncRNA